AUCUGUGAAUGGGACAUUUGAGUAAAAAAUCAUUGUAUCGGUCCCAAGCCUCGUACAUGGAUUCAUCAUCUACCUGUCGAAAAGAAGUAAUAUUGUUACACAAUUU